rnacentral:misc_RNA from 1 species
CCACUUUUUCUUGCAACUGCUAAUAAAGGGUCUUUCUUACUGUCAUCCAUAGAAACAGCAAGCACGCAUUUAGAGGCGUCUGGAUCACCCCAUCUCUCUACCACCUGAGGGAUUCCUCGAUCACCACGAGACUCAAUCACUUUAAUAAGACCAAGUGCGUCAAAAGUUAAGGCUCGAAGCGGAGGGCAACCAGGGCACUCAACGGUGGUAGUUCGCGGCAUCGCUGGGACCACGUGCCGUUGAAGUUCAGCUCUUU